UACAGAGGUCCCAAGCGUUGUUCGGAUUCAUUGGGCGUAAAGGGUGCGUAGGCGGCGCGGUAAGUCGGGUGUGAAAUCUCGGAGCUUAACUCCGAAACUGCAUUCGAUACUGCCGUGCUUGAGGACUGGAGAGGAGACUGGAAUUUACGGUGUAGCGGUGAAAUGCGUAGAUAUCGUAAGGAAGACCAGUGGCGAAGGCGGCGCUCUGGGCCGGUACUGACGCUGAGGAGCGAAAGCGUGGGGAGCAAACAGG
rnacentral:rRNA from 1 species